rnacentral:rRNA from 1 species
UACGGAGGGUGCGAGCGUUGUCCGGAAUCAUUGGGCGUAAAGGGCGCGUAGGUGGCCUGUGCAAGCGUGCGGUGAAAGCUCGGGGCUCAACCCCGAGUCGGCCGUGCGAACUGCUGGGCUCGAGCACUGUAGAGGCAGGCGGAAUUCCGGGUGUAGCGGUGGAAUGCGUAGAGAUCCGGAAGAACACCGGUGGCGAAGGCGGCCUGCUGGGCAGUAGCUGACACUGAGGCGCGACAGCGUGGGGAGCAAACAGG